GGCCCGCCGUCCUCCGUGGGCGGGGGAGGGAAGCAGGUGGAUGAUCCGACUCCAGCCGUCAAGGCCCCCUGACCUGUUCUGCCCUCCUCUUGCCGUGACUUACGCUUGGAAAGGAACUAGCAUUUCUGGUUGGGCGUGUUUUAUUUAUAGUGCAAGAACAUCCACCGCAUUCCCCACAAAGUGGGCCGAUGUAGCUACCAGCCUCUCGGGCCAGCCGGAGCCCAUCGGCAGGUCCCACGGAGCAGGAGCCCCCCCGUCGCGAGCCGUUCGCAGCCCGGGACCAGAAAGGACGGGGACGCCCGCAGCCGAGAUGGGUGUUUAUGCGGAUGGGCUCAGGCACCAGGGGCACCUCGCUCUCUGGGAGUUUCCUCCAACCACGUCUCGCGUUCAGGUGCCCGGAAAGCGCAGGUUAUUUCUGCCUGGACGUUGGCGGGAACCAGCCUGUGGGCAGAUCCAUCCGGUGGAGACUUUUGUAAAGGCACACCUUCCUGAGACCAUUGGACAGAUGCAGCUUCAGGACACCUCUGACUCACAACCGAAGGUGAGGCGGGUUCUGCACAUCACCACCGCCCAGAACCUCUGAAGUGUCAGAUUUGUGACUAAUUCGUUCUGUUAAAAGAUGCAGCCCAGUGGGCACCCUCCAGUGAUACCGCUGCAGUGCAUCCUGGUGUUUCUUGGGGAGGGGGGGCGGAGCCAGAGCUAUGCUUGGGGCACCAGGAUCCCAGGGGCAGUGUUGGGGGGAGGGGGCCUCCCUCUGCCUCUCCUGGAGGGCCUGGGCUUCCAGCCGGUGGUCUUGGGGGCGCGCAGAAUGCAGCCUACCUCCCACCACCCGUCCUCAGGUCUCCUGAACUCAGGGGCGCAGAAAACCCCUACCACGCAGGAGUGCCAGGACCCCAGCCUUCUCUCCUCGGGAGUUACUGUGACGGAAAAAAAUGCGCAACCUAGAAGUUGGGAGAUGUGUGUUAUUCAGCAGACAAAACCGAGGACUUAAGCCGGGACACAAGGGGUCAGAGAAUUCUGAGAAACUGCAUCAAAGAGGCCAGGAGUCUUUGCCACAAAGACCAGGCGAAAGAACAUCAAAGAUGGCUGUUGACUGAAGAAAACCAGACGUCCCAAACGAGGGAGCCGAGCGCCCUUCUAGGCCUGGGGAGAUGCCAGAGGCUGGGGCGUGGAAGCCAGGCCUUCGCUGUGCACCUCAGCUCCCUGAGUGUCCUGAGUUUUCUCACCCCGAGUUUCCUUAGGCUGCACCUUCGGGGGCGGGGGGUUGGCUGCAGGGCGGGCUCGUCUCCUCCCUGAGUUCCCCGGGGGCCCGUCCCUCCUCCGUUCCGGGUGGGAGGCUGGGAUGAGUGGGCUUGACGGCGGCAGCCUCCUCUGUUUACCGAUACGGCAGCAGCCUGGUUCACUCGCAUCGCUGACUCCCCGGGCACGGCUUUCUCACUGGUGUCACGGGCAGUGGUGGGUCUACUUGACCAGUGACCCUUGGACAGGGCCCCUAAACCACGUCUGGCCCAGUGUGCAAAUGGCUGAACCCAACUCUCAGACCUGCCCAACUUUUUGGCUUUCCUUUUUUCCAAAUUUCAGGG
rnacentral:lncRNA from 1 species